rnacentral:rRNA from 1 species
UACGUAGGUGGCAAGCGUUAAUCGGAAUUACUGGGCGUAAAGCGUGCGCAGGCGGUUUGUUAAGUCUGUUGUGAAAUCCCCGAGCUCAACUUGGGAAUUGCAAUGGAUACUGGCAGGCUGGAGUAUGGUAGAGGAAGGUGGAAUUCCCGGUGUAGCAGUGAAAUGCGUAGAGAUCGGGAGGAACACCAGUGGCGAAGGCGGCCUUCUGGACCAAUACUGACGCUCAUGCACGAAAGCGUGGGGAGCAAACAGG